GACGAACGCUGGCGGCGUGCUUAACACAUGCAAGUCGAACGGAAAGGCCCUGCUUUUGUGGGGUGCUCGAGUGGCGAACGGGUGAGUAACACGUGAGUAACCUGCCCUUGACUUUGGGAUAACUUCAGGAAACUGGGGCUAAUACCGGAUAGGAGCUCCUGCUGCAUGGGGGGGGUUGGAAAGUUUCGGCGGUUGGGGAUGGACUCGCGGCUUAUCAGCUUGUUGGUGGGGUAGUGGCUUACCAGGGCUUUGACGGGUAGCCGGCCUGAGAGGGUGAACGGCCACAAUGGGACUGAGAGACGGCCCAGACGCCUACGGGAGGCAGCAGUGGGGAAUAUUGCACAAUGGGCGGAAGCCUGAUGCAGCAACGCCGCGUGCGGGAUGACGGCCUUCGGGGUGUAAACCGCUUUCGCCUGUGACGAAGCGUGAGUGACGGUAAUGGGUAAAGAAGCACCGGCUAACUACGUG
rnacentral:rRNA from 1 species